rnacentral:rRNA from 1 species
CCUACGGGUGGCAGCAGUGAGGAAUAUUGGUCAAUGGGCUUACGCCUGAUCCAGCCAAGUCGCGUGAGGGAAGACUGCCCUAUGGGUUGUAAACCUCUUUUGUCAGGGAGCAACGCAGGCUACGUGUAGCCGGACUGAGAGUAACUGAAGUAAAAGCAUCGGCAAACUCCGUGCCAGCAGACGCGGUAAUACGGGGGAUGCGAGCGUUAUCCGGAUUUAUUGGGUUUACAGGGUGCGUAGGCGGAAUGCGAAGUCAGCGGGAAAAGCGCGGGGCUCAACCUCGGUCCGCCGUUGAAACUGGCCUGCGUGAGUGGGCGAGAGGUAUGCGGAAUGCGUGGUGUAGCGGUGAAAUGCAUAGAUAUCACGCAGAACUCCGAUUGCGAAGGCAGCAUACCGGCGCCCAACUGACGCUGAGGCACGAAAGCGUGGGUAUCGAACAGGAUUAGAUACCCCAGUAGUC